CCUGGAUAUUUUUUAUUUUCUUAUUUAUUUUCUAUUUCUUCUGAUGCUGCUAUGAUUCUAACAGUCCUAAAAGGCACACGUGAUCCUCUUCACUUCCGCUGAAGACGGAGCCCGGAUGUUGGUCUCUCCUCAUAACAGAAAUAUCUCUGGCAGCGGGAUUCGUGACCGACGCAAAUUCUUCAUCUUCUUCUUCGUAUUUCAACUCGUCACAACCGUAUUUUAACAUAAACAUAACCCUAAAAAGUGUGUGACGUCAAAAAAGCAGCUCUUGACCAUCAAAUGCACAGUAAAUAAUAAAGGGAGCUCAUGUCGUAAAAGGUGCUGUUAGCGGAAGUUGCGUCACAGAUCAGUUGGUGUCUUCCGGCUGAGAGAGGAGCCGCGUGCGAGGGAGCCGAGUUCCCGCCGAAAGGAAGUAAUGAAUGUGUCUGGUUAGGUUGAGUGUGUUGAGGUCAGGGGUCAAUGAUGACUAGUCCACUGCGCAAACUGACCGGUGAAUGAAGAGAGCAGUGCUGAGCUCCGAGCGAGCGUCUGAUGACCGACCCGAGAAGAUCUGUGUGACCCUCGGCCGUCGUCGUCUUCUCUGAUCCUGUGUUUCUGUGUUUUCAGAUGAUCAGACGGAGAGAAGGUCUCCAGGACCAGCGGCUGCUUGAACCCAGCAUCACAUGCCUCUCUAAAGCGUGCUCGUACUCUUAAAUAAAUGUGUCCCAACCCACCUUUUCAUCGUUUCAUUCAGAUAUGCAUCACAAUACAAGUCUAUAUGAUCUGUUUAUAGCUCACUGUGUAGAUGAAGUGAGCACGGGUUAGUUAGUGUUUCUCUCAAUAAAGAUUCUGGCUUAAAUAUCUUUUAA